GCGCCCCUGGGCGAGUUGGGCGCGCCCGUGCCCUUGAGGGGCGCGGGGAACGGCGCGCUCAGCCCUCGCGGGGCGGC
rnacentral:tRNA from 1 species